ACAUGCAUACAACACAAUGUUAAUCCAUCAGAUCUCAUUAGAACUCUGUAGUUAAGAACACUCAUGCUAGAGUAGUACUGGGAUGGGUGACUUCCCAGGAAGUCCUAGUAUUUUACAUGCC
rnacentral:rRNA from 1 species